rnacentral:rRNA from 1 species
CGGAAGCUAAGGCCCACAGCGCCGAUGGUACUGCAGCCGGGAGGUUGUGGGAGAGUAGGUCGCCGCCGGAC